UACGAAGGGGGCUAGCGUUGUUCGGAAUUACUGGGCGUAAAGCGUGCGCAGGCGGCUUCUCAAGUCAGGGGUGAAAGCCCAGAGCUCAACUCUGGAAUUGCCUUUGAGACUGAGUGGCUUGAGUACGAGAGAGGUGAGUGGAAUUCCCAGUGUAGAGGUGAAAUUCGUAGAUAUUGGGAGGAACACCGGUGGCGAAGGCGGCUCACUGGCUCGUAACUGACGCUCAUGCACGACAGCGUGGGGAGCAAACAGG
rnacentral:rRNA from 1 species